rnacentral:rRNA from 1 species
AUACGGAGGGGGCAAGCGUUAUUCGGAAUUAUUGGGCGUAAAGGGCGCGUAGGCGGCUUGACAAGUCAGUGGUGAAAUCCCUCGGCUCAACCGAGGAACUGCCUCUGAAACUGUCUGGCUUGAGGCCGGGAGAGGGUAGUGGAAUUCCCAGUGUAGCGGUGAAAUGCGUAGAUAUUGGGAAGAACACCGGUUGCGAAGGCGGCCACCUGGACCGGAACUGACGCUGCGGUGCGAAAGCGUGGGGUGCAAACAGGAUUAGAUACCCCGGUAGUCC